AGCUAGGGGACUCUGGUGCACAGGACAAGACAAGGAGAGAAAGCAAUCCCUUUGAAACAAAAUCUGAAAAUAAAAAAUAUGUUCACAGUGGUUUAUAUCAACAGUAUGCAUUUCAUGACAGUAACAUGUACAGACUCAGAGCACCCUAGGGGUCUUUAUAUCCUAAAGAAAAUGAGCAUUUACACUAUUCAUGGUUUGCACUGAAUUAAAAAAAAUCAAUUGUACACUUACUCCUCCGACAGGAUAAACUGUCCUGGGUGUACAUCUUUAACACCAUCAUUAACGUUGUUUGCAAAAGGAAUAGGGUAUUUAAAAACAAAAUCAUUUUUCUUUCAUUUACUGUUAUAACUAGCAAAUGCCAUCCUUAACUUGAGUGGAGAAAGU